ACGCCGCGGUCAUGUGACCCGCUCAACAACGCACUCGCUGUCUCCGGAGAAAUAGAGGAGAAGAAGAAGAAUUUCGUAACCGGGGGAAGUUUUUGUUUCCGUGCCAGUCCCGACUAUCUGUCAUUUGGAGUUUUUGUUGUUUUCCAAACGGCGAUCGGUUGACCGAUACGUGUGACACGAUUUUGUUAUUUUCGACUGCGACACUUUUUUUUAACAAGAACGACAUUUAAAACGGAUUUAUUUAUUUUUAUUUAUUUAUUUUUUUACCUUCCGCACGGAGACAGUUACUAAGAGACUUAAACAACGGGAAUAAUUCACGAAUAAACACACAAUAUUCUCCAUUGUAAAGUCUAUUGGCUGCAGUCAUGAUGGUGUAUGACUUCCCACUGAAGACAGACAUGGAGACGUCUCUCUAUCAGUCUUAUCCCUCGGUAGUGAACAGCGUUAUUUUCACCCCCCACCCCUACCACCCCACACAAUACGCACACACACACACCUUCUCCCCCUCACACACACUCACACACGCCCAGUCCGCCAACCCCACC